rnacentral:rRNA from 1 species
UACGAGGGGGGCAAGCGUUGUUCGGAAUUAUUGGGCGUAAAGGGCGCGUAGGCGGCCAUUCAAGUCGGGGGUGAAAGCCUGUGGCUCAACCACAGAAUUGCCUUCGAUACUGUUUGGCUUGAGUAUGGUAGAGGUUGGUGGAACUGCGAGUGUAGAGGUGAAAUUCGUAGAUAUUCGCAAGAACACCGGUGGCGAAGGCGGCCAACUGGACCAUUACUGACGCUGAGGCGCGAAAGCGUGGGGAGCAAACAGG